rnacentral:rRNA from 1 species
GGUUUCGUAGGUGACCUGCGGAAGGAUCAUUA